CCAAUAGCGUAUAUUAAAGUUGUUGCAGUUAAAAAGCUCGUAGUUGAAUUUCGGGACCAAUCUGCCGGUCGUGCCUCUGGUACGCACUGGUUUUAUUGGUUUCUCCCUUCUGACGAACCAUAAUGUCAUUAAUUUGGUGUCAUGGGGAAUCAGGACUGUUACUUUGAAAAAAUUAGAGUGUUUAAAUCAGGCUCACGCUUGAAUACAUUAGCAUGGAAUAAUGAAAUAGGACGUUUGACCCUAUUUUGUUGGUUUCUAGGAUCGACGUAAUGAUUAAUAGGGAUAGUUGGGGGCAUUAGUAUUCAAUUGUCAGAGGGGAAAUUCUUGGAUUUAUUGAAGACUAACUACUGCGAAAGCAUUUGCCAAGGAUGUUUUCAUUAAUCAAGAACGAAAGUUAGGGGAUCGAAGACGAUCAGAUACCGUCGUAGUCUUAACCAUAAACUAUGCCGACUAGGGAUCGGAUGAUGUUAUUUUUAAUGACUCAUUCGGCGCCUUACG
rnacentral:misc_RNA from 1 species